rfam:Schistosoma rodhaini strain Burundi genome assembly, scaffold: SROB_scaffold0000569
AUCAAACUGACAAGUCCCAAAUAGGAUGAAACACGCGUCCUGGAU